GGCUGCGGCGAGGCUGGCGAUCCGCUGCAUCAGCGCGAGGGGCACCGGGGACCCGAGGACCGACGCUGGCGUUGCCUCCGUGGCCGCUGCUGAGAGCUCACCCGAACCGUCUGACGCCCCGUGUCCUCCCUCCCGAGAGUGAUCCCAGCCCCGGAGCCUGAGCAGCAGCAGAAGAGAAGGAGCCCCCCCUGGAGGAGGCGGAGGUGGAGGUGGAGGCCACGGCGCCUCUCCAUGGGAACUGCUAAUUGGCCCUCCCCUGUGGCCACUUGGAGAAGCAGGCAGACGUGGCCCCGUAGACACUUCUGUCAGUCCUCGGGGACGAUGGCAGAUAUGAGAUUCAUGCCGACUGUGCGCCUCUGCGGAGCCGCUUCUUAAGGGACGACAGUCUGAUGUCUCCCUCCUUCACCAUCUGGACAUUAUAUUUACUGACGAACCAAUCAAGACCCCGAGAAAGUCGACGUGAGGACACACCUCUGUGUGCUCAGUCUGGUGUGUGUGUGUGUGUUACUUCUAAGGACCAGUUUGACUGUUAGACGAUUGAGUUUUGGGGGUGGGGAAUGAUUUUUCGAGUGUAAGGUACAUUUUUAGCAACUGAAAAUGUUUUUGAUGGUUACAAUUUUGAUUUUAGGGCUAAGUGAGGUGUAGGUUAAGGUUCGAGGCUAGGAUUUACGGUAUAUUAGUA